rnacentral:rRNA from 1 species
ACAGCAGUAGCCGCGGGAAUACGAAGGGGGCUAGCGUUGCUCGGAAUGACUGGGCGUAAAGGGCGCGUAGGCGGCGAUCAAAGUCAGGCGUGAAAUUCCUGGGCUCAACCUGGGGGCUGCGCUUGAUACUUGGUUGCUUGAGUGGGGAAGAGGGUCGUGGAAUUCCCAGUGUAGAGGUGAAAUUCGUAGAUAUUGGGAAGAACACCGGUGGCGAAGGCGGCGACCUGGUCCUUGACUGACGCUGAGGCGCGAAAGCGUGGGGAGCAAACAGGAUUAGAUACCCCCGUAGUCCCUGUCUCUUAUAA